GGAAAAAAAAUUUUGACCCGCGUUUGACCGGCAGCUACCUUUCUUCUCCAUUCUCUCUCUCUGCAGCUUCCACUCUCUAUACUCUCAACUCGCCAUCUCUCCCUCUCACUACACCCUCUCGCAUCUCCCUCCGUCCCGACUUGCAUCGUAGUCCAACUUGGCAUUGAUCUCCCUGCGUGGUAGGCCACCAAACCUCCGAUCCAGUCGUCUCCAGCUCUCUCCACCCAGCCCCAACGCAUGCACAGUGCCCCCAAGCGGCUUCCAGCUCCCGCCAAGAGCUCCAGCUAGCCCGCGCCCCCUAUCCAGCUCAAUUCGGCCCCACAGUCCCAGCCUUCCUCAGUCGAUAGAAGCCAGCUCCAGCUCCAACCGCCACUCACCUAGCUCCAACUCCAGCUCCAGCGCCGUCCCCGAUGCCACGUAGCCCCAGCUCCAGCUCCAGCUCUAGCUGGCUCCCAAGUUAGCCACAAUCUGAGCAAGGGCCGGAGGUGCACCCAGCUCCACCUCCGCCGCGACCGCCACCCUUGCUCAUCGCCACGCCAAGAUUAUACUCUCCCCGACAUUGAGUCGGCCGCCCCGGAUCUGUUCGAUCUUCUAAUGGAGUCCGAUCUCUUACACUUGUUGCUUAGCCGCAAUAAAGGUAUAGUCGAAUAAUUACAUUUAUAUAUAUAAUUAAUGUUAAUUUGUAGUUAAAACUUUAAUCUUUAGAUUGAUUUUAUAUGACCCUAGAUUAGUCUCCAUUUUAGAAUUGUGGAGAAGGAGGACGGGAUUUGGGGAAGCGGUUAAGCCUUCCCAUUAUGGAUUUGGUUAUGUUUGUAUUGUUUGUUGCAGCGUAAUAAGGAGUUGUGAAUAUUAGUUAUCGUU